GAUGAACGCUGGCGGCGUGCCUAAUACAUGCAAGUCGAGCGAACAGACGAGGAGCUUGCUCCUCUGACGUUAGCGGAGGACGGGUGAGUAACACGUGUAUAACCUACCUAUAAGACUGGGAUAACUUCGGGAAACCGGAGCUAAUACCGUAUAAUAUAUUGAACCGCAUGGUUGAAUAGUGAAAGUCGGUUUUGCUGGCACUUAUAGAUGGAUCCGCGCCGCAUUAGCUAGUUGGUAAGGUAACGGCUUACCAAGGCAACGAUGCGUAGCCGACCUGACAGGGUGGUCGGCCGCGAUGGAAAUGAGACACGGUCCAAACUCCUACGGGAGGCAGCAGUAGGGAAUCUUCCGCAAUGGGCGAAAGCCUGACGGAACAACGCCGCGGGCGUGAUGAAGGUCUUCGGAUCGUAAAACUCUGUUAUUAGUGAAGAACAAAUGUGUAAGUAACUAUGCACGUCUUGACGGUACCUAAUCAGAAAGCCACGGCUAACUACGUG
rnacentral:rRNA from 1 species